rnacentral:rRNA from 1 species
GACGAACGCUGGCGGCGUGCUUAACACAUGCAAGUCGAACGGAAAGGCCCUGCUUGCAGGGUACUCGAGUUGCGAACGGGUGAGUAACACGUGGGUGAUCUGCCCUGCACUUCGGGAUAAGCCUGGGCAACUGGGUCUAAUACCUGAUAGGAGCCAUUUUUAGUGUGAUGGUUGGAAAGUUUUUUCGGUGUAGGAUGAGCUCUCGGCCUAUCAGCUUGUUGGUGGGGUAAUGGCCUACCAAGGCGGCUACGGGUAGCCGGCCUGAGAGGGUGGACGGCGACAUUGGGACUGAGAGACGGCCCAGACUCCUACGGGAGGCAGCAGUGGGGAAUAUUGAACAAUGGGCGCAAGCCUGAUGAAGAGGCGCCGCGUGGGGGAUGACGGUCUUCGGGUUGUAAACUCCUUUCGCUAGGGACGAAGCUUUUUGUGACGGUACCUAGAUAAGAAGCACCGGCUAACUACGUG